GGUUGAAACUGAGGCUUCUUGUUGAUGUAAUCCAACAGUGGAAAUCACUCUGACUGUGGUCCCACAGUCUCUUACCUUCUGCCAUCCCGCCCAAUCUGCUGUUGUGUGGCUGAGGCUAUAAUGUGUUAGGUAAGCCAAGGGAGCCAUCAGCUAGGUGGUUCUACAUGCAUAACUGCAAAACCAGCCCAAUCUGGUUCAACUUUGUGUUAUAAAAUGGUUACUUUUCAGUUACCUCCAUGUUGCAGGUAACCUAAGUAAACCCAAAUGGACCAAAUGCAACGCUGAUGGAAUCUAAGUGCUCAGAUCAAGGAAUGGGGACUGAAAUAAGAGUGGAUACCACAUGGCAUGAUCCAAUCAGAUUGAGCCCUGGAAAGAUCAUCCCAUGGCAAGAUCCAGUUAGAUUACACUUCCUGGCAUCACCUCAUUGCAGGAUCCAAGAUCAUGCCUCAUUACCUUCUGCCUAUAAAACCUGCCCCAUCCCCCAGCUCUAGGAGACGGAUUUGAGCCAGGCUCCUGUCUUUCUCUGCAGCCUUGCAAUAAACUUUUCUUUCUACAAAAA
rnacentral:sRNA from 1 species